rnacentral:tRNA from 1 species
GGGCUAUUAGCUCAGGUGGUUAGAGCGCACCAGUGAUAAGGGUGAGGUCCCUGGUUCGAGUCCAGGAUGGCCCA